rnacentral:rRNA from 1 species
AUACCGGAGAAUGUUAUCACGGGAGACACACGGCGGGUGCUAACGUCCGUCGUGAAGAGGGAAACAACCCAGACCGCCAGCUAAGGUCCCAAAGUCAUGGUUAAGUGGGAAACGAUGUGGGAAGGCCCAGACAGCCAGGAUGUUGGCUUAGAAGCAGCCAUCAUUUAAAGAAAGCGUAAUAGCUCACUGGUCGAGUCGGCCUGCGCGGAAGAUGUAACGGGGCUAAACCAUGCACCGAAGCUGCGGCAGCGACACUAUGUGUUGUUGGGUAGGGGAGCGUUCUGUAAGCCUGUGAAGGUGGCCUGUGAGGGUUGCUGGAGGUAUCAGAAGUGCGAAUGCUGACAUAAGUAACGAUAAAGCGGGUGAAAAGCCCGCUCGCCGGAAGACCAAGGGUUCCUGUCCAACGUUAAUCGGGGCAGGGUGAGUCGACCCCUAAGGCGAGGCCGAAAGGCGUAGUCGAUGGGAAACAGGUUAAUAUUCCUGUACUUGGUGUUACUGCGAAGGGGGGACGGAGAAGGCUAUGUUGGCCGGGCGACGGUUGUCCCGGUUUAAGCGUGUAGGCUGGUUUUCCAGGCAAAUCCGGAAAACCAAGGCUGAGGCGUGAUGACGAGGCACUACGGUGCUGAAGCGACAAAUGCCCUGCUUCCAGGAAAAGCCUCUAAGCAUCAGGUAACAUCAAAUCGUACCCCAAACCGACACAGGUGGUCAGGUAGAGAAUACCAAGGCGCUUGAGAGAACUCGGGUGAAGGAACUAGGCAAAAUGGUGCCGUAACUUCGGGAGAAGGCACGCUGAUAUGUAGGUGAAGCGACUUGCUCGUGGAGCUGAAAUCAGUCGAAGAUACCAGCUGGCUGCAACUGUUUAUUAAAAACACAGCACUGUGCAAACACGAAAGUGGACGUAUACGGUGUGACGCCUGCCCGGUGCCGGAAGGUUAAUUGAUGGGGUUAGCGGUAACGCGAAGCUCUUGAUCGAAGCCCCGGUAAACGGCGGCCGUAACUAUAACGGUCCUAAGGUAGCGAAAUUCCUUGUCGGGUAAGUUCCGACCUGCACGAAUGGCGUAAUGAUGGCCAGGCUGUCUCCACCCGAGACUCAGUGAAAUUGAACUCGCUGUGAAGAUGCAGUGUACCCGCGGCAAGACGGAAAGACCCCGUGAACCUUUACUAUAGCUUGACACUGAACAUUGAGCCUUGAUGUGUAGGAUAGGUGGGAGGCUUUGAAGUGUGGACGCCAGUCUGCAUGGAGCCGACCUUGAAAUACCACCCUUUAAUGUUUGAUGUUCUAACGUUGGCCCGUAAUCCGGGUUGCGGACAGUGUCUGGUGGGUAGUUUGACUGGGGCGGUCUCCUCCUAAAGAGUAACGGAGGAGCACGAAGGUUGGCUAAUCCUGGUCGGACAUCAGGAGGUUAGUGCAAUGGCAUAAGCCAGCUUGACUGCGAGCGUGACGGCGCGAGCAGGUGCGAAAGCAGGUCAUAGUGAUCCGGUGGUUCUGAAUGGAAGGGCCAUCGCUCAACGGAUAAAAGGUACUCCGGGGAUAACAGGCUGAUACCGCCCAAGAGUUCAUAUCGACGGCGGUGUUUGGCACCUCGAUGUCGGCUCAUCACAUCCUGGGGCUGAAGUAGGUCCCAAGGGUAUGGCUGUUCGCCAUUUAAAGUGGUACGCGAGCUGGGUUUAGAACGUCGUGAGACAGUUCGGUCCCUAUCUGCCGUGGGCGCUGGAGAACUGAGGGGGGCUGCUCCUAGUACGAGAGGACCGGAGUGGACGCAUCACUGGUGUUCGGGUUGUCAUGCCAAUGGCACUGCCCGGUAGCUAAAUGCGGAAGAGAUAAGUGCUGAAAGCAUCUAAGCACGAAACUUGC